rnacentral:tRNA from 1 species
GCCUGGCUGGCUCAGUAGGAAGGGCAUGUGACUCUUGAUCUCAGGACUGUGAGUUCGAGCCCCAUGCUGGGUG